ACUCUAGAACAACGGAUGUCUUGGCUCCUCACACGAUGAAGAACGUUGCAUAAUGUGAUAAGUAACUGGAGUUGCGAACAUUGUGACAAGUUAAUCUUUGAAUGCACAUUGCGCUUAUCUUUACUCUCGGUAGGAUGGCAUGUGUACCACAGCACU
rnacentral:rRNA from 1 species